rnacentral:lncRNA from 1 species
UAGUUUAAUUUUUGUAUUUUUAAUUAAUAAUUUUCCCGUCUCUAUGGUUAGAUGGAUAAUUGACUAUAUUUACAUGCUUCGUUUUACGAAGAGCCUAUGUUGAUGUACGUUUUUAUCUUGGGGUAAAAAUUAUGCAUUUUCUUUCUUUGCGUUACGACCUUUUUAAUAAAAAUACUAUUUGGGCUUUUUUUUUUUACACGAGAAAAGGAAAAGAGGAUCAAGGUUAAUAGCUUUUAACUUUGCUAGCACAUAUGCGUAGGCAUUCUCUCGUGAUGCAGAGCUAUUGUCCAAUCUUUUUUCAUGAAAUCUCUAAUAAUCUCUAGCUCAUUAGCAUAAUGAUGAAACUGAGAUGUUCCCUUUGUGACAAGUUGAACCACAUGCAAGGAAUA